rnacentral:lncRNA from 1 species
UGGGCACAGGACUACUACUUAACCUGAACGCAGGCUAUUCAGCAGCAACUCCUGGAACUCUGGACUGGAAACCAUUUUAAAAAAAGAAAGCUGUCUGAUUUUAUCUACACACACUCUCAGUGUAAAUGCUCUGCUCUUCUGUAAACAAUACUAAAAAGGCUACCUCAACUCGAGUCUAGGGGACCUCCCCAUUUCAUGGAUCACAGCCCAACUUCUUUAAAAUUCUUAGUUCAAAUUCCCAAGCUAAUUAUGCCUUCCUGAUAGGAUUAGAAAGUAUUUAUACACACUUAUAUAUGAAGAUAUAUAUACAUAAACAUAUAUACAUUGUCAGUUAGUUUUCCAUGACUGUGGCAAAAUACCUGAGAGAAUCAACUUAAAAGGAGGAAGGAUUUAUUUUGACUCACAGUUUCAGAGGUUUCAGUCCAUGGUCACUUGACCCCAUUGCUCUGGGUCUGUGGCAACCCAGUAGAUCAUGGCAGUAGAAAUGUGUAGCAGAAGAGGCUGCUCACCUCACAACCACCAGGAAACAAAGACAGAGGAAGAGGAAGGGACCAGAGUCCCCAUAACUUCUUCAUGGGCAUACCCCAGUGACUUAGUUUCCUCCCACUGGGCCGCCUACCAAUAGCACCACAGGCUGGUGACCAAGCCGUUAAUACUUGAACCUUUGGGGAUGCUUCAGAUCCAAAGAUUCAGGCCAUCUGUGUGUACUAAAAUCAUGAGUCUCAUACUGCUUUUUUGAUUUGUCCAUUGUGAUUUUAAUUUUCUUCAAUAAACGUGAUAUUUUUCUUAUUAUAAACAGAAGUUAAAAAUAAACUUCAAAAACCUAACAUUCAUGAUUUUUAAUGUGAAAAAGCUAAACAACUUAACAACCUUGGAAUAAAGAGAUCUUCCUCAACUUGAUAAAGGACAUGUGCAAAAACCUACAGUGAACAUCCUACAGGACGGAGAAGACAGAAUGCUUUCCUCCAAAGAUCAGAAAUGGGGCAAGUAUAUCUUUUCUUGCCUGUUCUAUACAAUAUAUAUAUAGACCUAGGGGUUUCCAACAGUCAUGGAGUCAGGCAAGAAAAAGAAAUAGAAAGCAUACAGAUUGGAAAGGAUGUAGCCUUUACUUUUUACUUGAAGUUGGCAUGAUCUAGUAGAAAAUCUUAAGGAACUGACUGAAAACAAAACAACAACCUUAUUGAAACUUUUAAAUAAAUACAAGGCGAUAGGAUAUAAGACUAAUGUUAGAAAAUUAUCUGAAGAUGAAGUUAAGAAUAAAAUUUCACUUACAUUCAUAAAAAGAAUAAAAUGAAGGAUAAAUUUAACAAAAG